ACAUGUUAUAUUUGUUCCUAUCUGUGUGUGUAUAUUCUUUUCUUUGUGUACCUAGCCCCACAGGUGUGCAAUAAACCCAGAGAAAUCCCAGAAACGGUGUUGAACCCAGCACCUUCAACGUCUGGUGACACUGGUAAAAUUUCUUAUUUUGAAUAGUGAUUGACAUAUGUACGUGAAAUAAUAAUCUUGCAUUCAUUAUCUUGUUGUAGUUGAUGGCUCAUAAAAGAAUUUCUUACAUGCUGUUUCAAAUGAAUUUCCUUCUAUAGAUAGUGCUUAUUUUUCUUGCAUUUAAUAUGCAUUCUAUGUAGUGUUUUGUCUGAAACCUGUUAAAAUCCCUAUAGAACCUCAGAAAAGAGUUGACAACAAGAAAGCCAAUCGAAGGUCAACAGAUGCAACUUUUCCUGACCCGUGUGGACCACCGUGCGAAGCUCUGACAAAGCCUGAGAACAUUUUGGCCAGCCGUUCAUCAUGGUGUUUUGUACCGCACCCUGGCCAACAACAGCUUCUCAACUAUGUUCUGGACAUCAGCAGACCCAAAGAUGAGCUGAUUGUUGAAACGUCUUCUGGAUGCCUCACGCGGUCAGAUUUUUGGACACUGGGUUUAAACAAAGAAAUGGAAUCGACUGUAAGUAUUUUUUUUCUACGAAUAUGAAAAAAUAAAGUGUACAUUCAUUGUUAUCAUGAUUUUUUUCUGUUUCAGAUUGGAAAUGGCUGUUUUGAGCUUAUCACUAAAAUUGUUCAGUCAAAGGUACUGUAUGUUGUAUAUGAUGAUUGUCAAGCUUUAAUUUAAAGAGCUGUUGUUUUAAAUGUUUUUUUGUUUUUUUUUUUUACAUUCUAGGGGAUAAGCAUUUACAUCGAAAAUCUGUAUGUCACCCGGACUUGGCUUGCACCCUAUGGCUGUGAUCCAUUGCGGUCCUUUCCUGUAAGUGUACCGUCCUUUAAAGAAACAAGCAAGUAAUCCAAAUGAUUUUUUUUAUAACUUUGGUGCGAGUUCAUAUACAGGAUACUUAAAAAUACAAUUCUGUUUCAGACUGAUGCUCAGAGGAUGGACAUCAUAGUUCUCCCUCUCUGGACACCUGGUCAUUUCCAGUUGUGUGUAAGUCUUGUUUUUUGACACGUACAAACUGUUAGAAUUUUGCUAUGUGUCUGAGAUGUAUUCAAGCUUUUAUGACGCAGUUUCAAAAGUCUUUGACUGUGAUCGCUUGCAAUGACAUUGUUUUCAGGUUUGAAGUCAUGGCUAACUGUCUUUUAGGUACUGAAGCCACCUAAAAGAGAAAUCCUCUUUCUUGACCCAUUAUACACCAAGGCAGGAUUUGGUGGCCAACAAUAUGUUUCACUUUUGAGGUCACAUUUUUAUAAGCAUUUUUGGUUUGUUCCGGAGUUUUCAGGAACCUGUUCAGUGUUCCAGGUUAAGUGCAUCCCAGAUCAUGUUCUGCUGAUCUUGAGUGUUCACACAUACAGUACACUCACAUGCUUUUUCUAUAAACUAUAUCAGCAAGUUUCUGUGUGGAGUUUGCAUGUUCUCCCCAUGUUUGCGUGAGUUCCCUCCGGGUACUCCGGCUUCCUCCCACCGUCUAAAGACAUGCAGCUUGUGGGGAUAGGUUAAUUGGAUAAUCCAAAUUGCCACUAGGUGUGAAUGUGGGAGUGAAUGUGAGUGUGAAUGGUUGUCUGUCCCUGUGUGUUAGCCCUGCGACAGACUGGCGACCUGUCCAGUCUGUCGCCCUAUGACAGCUGGGAUAGGCUCCAGCGCCCCCCGUGACCCUGAAAAGGAUAAGCGGAAGCGAAUGGAUGGAUGGAUGGAUGGAUGGAUGGAUAUAUCAGCAUGAUGCUUCAACAUUUUAUUCUCAUCUUCAAAUUAUGAUCAAGUCAGUGAUACUGUCUGUAGAUGAGUUUCAGACAUAAAUUGGGUCUUCCAGUGUUCUAUUUUAACAUAAAACACCAUUAAAAAUUAUUUUAUAAAAUAUGCCAACAUUAACUUAAAGCUGUAAAUGCUUUAUUUUGACCAACUGUGAGCAUGUGACUGUACUUUUUCAUUUUGUUAUGCUGUUUUUUUGAGGUCGUGUUCCUAAGGCCUGUAGUUACAGUUGGUGCUAUUAGCAAUAAACAUUUCACACCCAUCAUGAUCAUCAUCUGUUAACUUGUGAAUGUAACUGUUUUUUUUAAAAAAAAAAGGAAUCUUGCAGUGAAGAUCAUUCCCGGGCAGUGGUCAGAAAAAAAGAGCUGUGACUUGAAGGGUUUUCCAAGCCAAGACUAUGGAGUUGACUGUGGGAUCUUCAUGCUGAUGUCUGCUCUGUACGUGGCACUGGAUGCUUCAUUUGACUAUACUAUAUCAGACAUGCCCUACUUGCGUAAAUGGUGGUGCUUGCUGUUGAUGGAGAACUUUGAUCUCAGGAGCUCUGGCAAGCUAUUUGCACACUGGAGAGAGGAAGCCAAAGCUGUGCUUGAAGGACAACACGUGCCCAUUUUCAGAGUGAAAAAGCGCAAGUUACAGGAAGUCAGUCAGGAGCCAGCAGUUGUUGCAGAUCUGCGUCCUGCUGUGCAGUGGGUUGUCCAAAAUAAGGCACUUUUCCGUGGACACGUAACAAUGCCCAAAUAUGUGUCCUUAAAUCAAGGAGACCAGCAGAGGGUCUUAAGAGACAUGUCAGAGGAAGAAGACACUGGAGCAAGGGACUUGUUCCUCUUUGUUUUUCAGUUUGCAGAGGACAUGGAGCUCUUUUUGAAUGCAUGUGCUGAUGAGCAGGGGCUAAGGGUCAGUGCUAUGUUUGACAUGUGAUGGACAAAUGAAGGCACUGGCUGUGUUUGUUUGUUUGUUUAAUAUGUUGUUGUUGUUGUUGUUUUUGCGUAGUACAAAAUUCCUAUUAAACUUAUUUCAAAAUGUUG
ensembl:lncRNA